CUUGUCUCCCUCAGGACUGGACCUGGAUCCUGGGCCUGCAGUCAGAUUGCCAGUUUCACUUAGAGGUGGAAAUGUCAACCCACUGGUUGGAAUGGGAAGAGACUGGGUCCCACCAUAUUGCCUGGGCUGGCCUCGGACUCUUGACCCCAAGUGAUCCUCUGGCCUCAGCCUCCCAAGCAGCUGGAUUUACAGGCAGGCACCACCGCACCGAGCUAAAAGUUCCCCUCACACAGAGCGGAAGCACAGCCCUGGCAUCAAGUGGGAGCAUGGCCCAGGGCAAGGAGCUCUGGGAGUGCAGCCUGGGGCCUUGAAUGACCCGGAGGACUGGAUUUGAGGAGGGCGCCUCCUGAACCUUCUUCUGUCCUCUAGAGGGACUGCACCAGAUGGCAGCUUCCUGUGAGCGGGAGCCCUCAGGUCAGGAAUUGAGGGUGCAUCCAGCUGUGAGCCAGGGGCCAUGGAGCAAGGCUCACCCGCUUCCCAGGAGGUUCUCAAGGGCUGGGCUCUCAGGUAGAGAAACUGAAGCUCAUCAGACCUCUCGGCCACGGCUACUUCAGGCUCCUAGGAGACUCACCUGCCUGUAAAGAUGGUACCAGGAGCUAACAAUUGCUAGUGAAGUCUAAUAUGGGAGCUGCUAGCCACACGCGCUUCUGAGCAUUUGAAAUGCUGCUGUUCCCAAUUACAAUGUGUUAAAGGUGUAAAAUAUAUGCCAGAUUUUGAAGACAUUGUGCC
rnacentral:lncRNA from 1 species